GUGCGAUGGGGGAGUCCAUCUGGAUCUUGUUUAGAUUUACAGAGGAAGGCGAUGGCGUCGCAGCAUCGGCCUCAGCCGCCUCCACAGCAGAGCCGCGGGGGUCAGCAGCUCUACAGAAGGGCUGCAGUGUGAACACAUUAAAUCCAUUAGUGACUGCCCUUCAUCUCCAACCCCUGAUGUCUUAUUUUACCUUCUCCCCUUCCUCACUGCCCCUUGAGCUUCUUUUGAGUUGAAAGAAGACACCCCAAUCAUCGGGUCCCAGAUGGGACAGUCCCAAGUGAGAGUGGGGGCAGGUGUGGUGGUUGCAGUUGCUGGUGAGCACCAGUGAUUAGCCAUGCCCAGUAAAGCGCUGAAGGGAGUUCAUUGAGUGCAGCCAGCAGCUGUUGUCUGACGCACACACCUGGCGUUUCAAACCAUAUCAAAUUUCAACAUGCUCCUGAAGCCAGCUCUGUUUAGGCCUCUACCACACUUCGGCUGGAGUCGUCAUAGCAACAGGGUUGGGCUGAUGGCAUUGAUAAGCUGGCUGACAAUCCCAUCCAUCAGUGCUGAUGACUGCUUUUGGAUUGACAGGGUGUGCUCCACAUCCUUUAAUUCAUUCUCUGCUCACAGACGUCUCUCGGUUACGAAUAUGUCAUUAGGCUGAGGUGGGUCAAACAUGCUUUCUGAGAGAAUUCUGUGGGUCUGUAGACUAUCUAUAUCCCAUAAUCUGAUAAUUAAGGUCUAAAAUUGCAAAUUACAAACCAAGUAUACAUCUGUAUACUGUUAAGAAGAGUGUUUCCCCUUUCUGAGAACUCUUUAGUUAUUGUAUUGUAAAAAAAAUGACUCCUUAUUUUUGUGUUAUACCAGGAUCAUUAAAGGUACAUAAACAAAAAGUAAACCAUAGAGACAGUUUCCAAAUAUGGCUCCAUUAGUCUCGUAUGAUCAUCUACAACAGCUGUAAAAGAAACUUGUAUAAUAGAGUUACAAGAGUUACAAGCAUUACAUUUCCUUUUGGGGUUAAUAAAGUGUUUUUGAAUUAUAUUGAAUUUUGUCGUUUUUAUUAUUUUAAUCGUGACAUUUUUUGGCAAGCACAAAUCUCAGUUUCCGCACAGAGAUUUGUGCAUUUUCUGAAGCAAAUGUUUUCAAAUUGUGAAGUUGGCCUCCUUGUAUGGAAGGAAU